UCCUCCCUCUGUUCAGACUUCCUGUUAGCUUUCAGCUUUCUCCCAACUAACUGGUGGGAAGUGGCUACUGCUUACAUACGUCUUCCCUAGAAGUCUGAAGAAGGAUCUGGGAGAGUUUUGUCCAAUCAAGAAGGAAAGCAGCAGCUCAGUUCCUCCAGAACCUUUUUUCUGCUGAAGACCAGGAUGGCGAAUUGUGGCUCAUGUUUCUGGUGCAUCAUUUGGCUACUGGUACUGCUGUGCAUCGGCUGGCCCCUCAGCAUCACCUUAGGUGGUCUCUAUGGUCUCAUCAGUCCACUCACUACCUGCCUCGGCCUUGACCGACUUUCUGACUUGCUUCUGGAGGGGGCCAACGUCGGUCGGACCUGUGCCAACAACAUGAGGCACUGCAAGCCAUUGUGCUGAGAGCCACCCUGUGUGAUCAGAAUCUGAUCACACAGGGGUUCACAGGCAACACCCGUUGUAUGGAAAAGGCUUUCUCACAAUAAGAGGAACUGAUUGUGUCUGUUUUAUUUUGUAAUGAGUGGCAUUUGAUAAACUGGCAUCCUAUCUUGUAACCUGUGUAACAAAAGUGUUUGAGCACUGGUUUCCGCCUCCACUGUUAACACCUAACUAGCCUCAGAUUUUUGUUUUGCAUGGAAGAAAAUAGACUUUGCGUUCAUGGUCCAUGCUUUCUGUUUAUUUCAUUCUUAUCUUCUGCAUGCAGAAGAUAAGAAUGAAAAUGACAUUUAGCAAUAGAACUGUUUAGACUUGUAAAUGACUGUACUGAAACAUAAAAUGUGAUUAAAACUGCUUUGAACUUGU